rnacentral:rRNA from 1 species
AUUGAACGCUGGCGGCAGGCCUAACACAUGCAAGUCGGGCGAGGGGCGGACGGGUGAGUAACGUAUGGGGAUCUGCCUGAUGGAGGGGGAUCACUACUGGAAACGGGCGAUAAUACCGCAUACCAUCAGAUGACCCCAUAUGGGAUUAGCUGGUAGGUAAGGUAAAGGCUUACCUAGGCGACGAUCCCUAGCUGGUCUGAGAGGACGAUCAGCCACACUGGGACUGAGACACGGCCCAGACUCCUACGGGAGGCAGCAGUGGGGAAUAUUGCACAAUGGGCGCAAGCCUGAUGCAGCCAUGCCGCGUGGAUGAAGAAGGCCUUCGGGUUGUAAAGUACUUUCAGUCGGGAGGCGUUACUCGCAGAAGAAGCACCGGCUAACUCCGUGCCAGCAGCCGCGGUAAUAC